rnacentral:rRNA from 1 species
AUUGAACGCUGGCGGCAGGCCUAACACAUGCAAGUCGAGCGGUAACAGAAAGAAGCUUGCUUCUUUGCUGACGAGCGGCGGACGGGUGAGUAAUGCUUGGGAACAUGCCUUGAGGUGGGGGACAACAGUUGGAAACGACUGCUAAUACCGCAUAAUGUCUACGGACCAAAGGGGGCUUCGGCUCUCGCCUUUAGAUUGGCCCAAGUGGGAUUAGCUAGUUGGUGAGGUAAUGGCUCACCAAGGCGACGAUCCCUAGCUGGUUUGAGAGGAUGAUCAGCCACACUGGGACUGAGACACGGCCCAGACUCCUACGGGAGGCAGCAGUGGGGAAUAUUGCACAAUGGGCGCAAGCCUGAUGCAGCCAUGCCGCGUGUGUGAAGAAGGCCUUCGGGUUGUAAAGCACUUUCAGUCAGGAGGAAAGGUUAGUAGUUAAUACCUGCUAGCUGUGACGUUACUGACAGAAGAAGCACCGGCUAACUCCGUGCCAGCAGCCGCGGUAAUACGGAGGGUGCGAGCGUUAAUCGGAAUUACUGGGCGUAAAGCGUACGCAGGCGGUUUGUUAAGCGAGAUGUGAAAGCCCCGGGCUCAACCUGGGAACUGCAUUUCGAACUGGCAAACUAGAGUGUGAUAGAGGGUGGUAGAAUUUCAGGUGUAGCGGUGAAAUGCGUAGAGAUCUGAAGGAAUACCGAUGGCGAAGGCAGCCACCUGGGUCAACACUGACGCUCAUGUACGAAAGCGUGGGGAGCAAACGGG